rnacentral:tRNA from 1 species
GUUUAAGUAAUUUAAGAUUAAAAUGUUGAUUUGUGGUGUCAAAAAUAUGAAAAUUGUCAUCUUAAACU